rnacentral:rRNA from 1 species
GACGAACCGUGCGAACGUUGUUCGGAUUCACUGGGCUUAAAGGGCGCGUAGGCGGCUCGCCAAGUCAGGGGUGAAAUCUUUCGGCUCAACCGGAAAACAGCUUCUGAUACUGGCGGGCUGGAGGGAGGUAGGGGCAGAUGGAACUUCCGGUGGAGCGGUGAAAUGCGUAAAUAUCGGAAGGAACGCCGGUGGCGAAAGCGAUCUGCUGGACCUCCGCUGACGCUGAGGCGCGAAAGCCAGGGGAGCAAACGGG